rnacentral:lncRNA from 1 species
AGUGCGACAGACAGCCUCAGAGCUGGUGGGGAGACAGCAUGCCACUGGAAAAAUUCGUAGACAUGGAAUUCCUGGAUCAAAUGGAGGAGAUGGAAGAUUGAGAGCAGAGUGCAAGAAUGGGAAGAGGGCUUCGUGCCCUGUGCACGUUUGCCACCUAGUGACCAAACUGAAUGGUGUGCUUCUCACCUCAGCGUGAUAGCCUGACCUUGACUCCUGAGUUCCACGAUCGCUUCACAACUGCAAGUCACCAUCAUACAAAAUUUGAGUUUCCCUAAGUCCGCGCCUUUGAGAGCUUUGGAACGAUAUGCAAGUUCAAGUCACCAUCCUGUUUCUUGCUACCUCCUGGUUUCCGAUGGCACCUGUGUCAAGGUCUUCCAACAACUCCGGGUCUUCCAGCGACUUCAAGUCUUCCAAUAAUCUCAAGGUCUUCCAGAUAAUCCUGAGCUUCCAGAAAAUCCACAUCUUCCAGACAAUCCAUGUCUUCCGGACAAUCCAUGUCUUCCAAGAAGCUCCAAGUCUUCCAGUAAAUCAAGUCUUCCAGCAAAUCCAGUCUUCCAGCAAUUACUGGUCUUCCACCAAAUCCAGAUCUUCCAGGAAAAUCCACGUCUUCCAGGAAAUCCAUGUCUUCCAAUAAUUUCAAGGUCUUCCAUCAAAUACAGAUCUUCCAGCUAAUCCAUGUCUUCCAGAAAAAUCUGUGUCUUCCACCAAAUCCAAGUCUUCCAGUAAAUCUAGUUCUUCCAGAAAAAUCUAGAUCUUCCAGUCAAUCAGUGUCUUCCAGAAAGAAAUCCAGGUCUUCCAGUCAAUCAGUGUCUUCCAGAAAGAAAUCCAGGUCUUCCAGUCAGUCAGUGUCUUCCAGAAAAAUCUACGUCUUCCACCAAAUCCAGGUCUUCCAGUCAAUCCACAUCUUCCGGAAAAAAUCCAGGUCUUCCAGCCAAUAUAUGUCUUCCUGAAGAUCCACGUCUUCCAGAAAAUCCAUGUCUUCCAGAAAAUCCAUGUCUUCCAGUAACCUCCCAGUCUUCCAGAAAAUCCACGUCUUCCCAACAAUCCAAGUCUUCCGGAUAAUUUGGGUCUUCCUGAAAAUCUACGUCUUCCAAAAAAGCCAUGUCUUCCAGAAAAUCCACAUCUUCCAAUGGCCUCCAGGUCUUCCAGACUAUCCAUGUCUUCCAGAAAAUCCUUGUCUUCCCUUAAAUCUAUAGCUUCCAAAAAAUCCGGGUCUUCCAGGAAAUCCGUGUCUUCCAGCAAGUCCACGUCUUCCAACAAAGCCAUGUCUUCCAGACUAUCCAUGUCUUCCAGAAAAUCCUUGUCUUCCCUCAAAUCCAUAGCUUCCGAAAAAUCCAGGUCUUCCAGGAAAUCCGUGUCUUCCAGCAAAUCCACGUCUUCCAACAAAGCCAUGUCUUCCAUCAAAUUAAUGUCUUCCAGCCUACUUGUGUCUUCCAACAAAGGUACGUCUUCCAACAAAGGUACGUCUUCCAACAAAGGUAUGUCUUCCAACAAAGGUACGUCUUCCAGAAAAUCCACGUCUUCCAACCAAGCCAUGUCUUCCAGAAAAUCCACGUCUUCCAGAAAAUAUAUGUCUUCCAACUAAGCUACGUCUUCCAACAAAUCCAUGUCUUCCUAUAUCUCCAGGUCUUCCAGCAUCUCCAGGGCUUCCAGCAUCUGCUCGUCUUCCAACAUCUCCACGUCUUCCAGCAUCUCUGUGUCUUCCAGCAUCUUCAUGUCUUCCAACAACUACCCAGUCUUCCAUCAACUGGCUCAAUAUCCAUGUCUUCCAACGUCUCCAGUGUGCUGAUCUUCUGACAUUCAGGUCUUCCAGUGUCUGCAAUAUCCAGGUAUUCUAACAUGUUCUAUAGUCCAGAUCUUCCAGCCUUUCCCCAGGUCCAGGCCUUUUCAAAUCUAGGCUUCCCCUGUCUGAGCCUUCCCAUGUUAAAAUCACUCUACAGAAAAAUCUUCCAACUCAACUAUUUCUGCUUCUAGUUGAAUUAGCUUCAAAAACAUUUAAUGGGACAUUCCUCCUUAUAGACCAGAUCUUAUGAACCAACAGUACUGCAGUUUGUGUUUUUUACUAUUAGGAAAUGUGUGUUUAAUCCCUACAACUUUUAAAAGUAAUGUCCAUAAUAAAACUUCUGCAGAAUAAACAGAUAGGACUGCUGCAAUAAAUUUUACUACUUCACUAGUGCUUACGGUUUUUAUACAGUUUACUAUGUUUAGGUCUAAGUGAAAUUUUUAUUUAAUGAGAAAAAUUCCUGUUUAAGACUGGUAUUUUAGGUAAAGUUAACAUGUAGAGUAUUAUUUGUCCAUUUUAAAUGAUAUUAAUUUUUAUCAUUGGUCUUACAUGACCAAAGAAUAAUAAUAAUAUAAUAAUAAUAAUAAUAAUAAUAACAACAACAACACUUAACAUAGCAUUUGCUACAUCCAGGCACUGUUCUCAGAUCCUUACAUGCAUUAACUCAUUUAAUCUAUUUAAUCUUCACAACAACCCAUUGAAGCUAGGUACCAUCAUUAUCCCUAUUUUACAGAUGAGGAAACUGGCACACAGAGGUGAAGUAAAUUUUGUCCACAGGACACAACUACUAAAUAAUGGAGCCAGAUUUAAACCCGGCUAGCCUGUUGUGAGAGUCCAUGAUUGUAACCACUAUGCUAUAAUAUCUGCUGUUUAAAAUCAUGAUAGAAUGAUGUGAUCCAAAGGUUGAUUGCUUCCACAUUUUGUGUAGAAUAUUAUACAAUCCCGUAUACAAAUGGUCUCGCUUGAUCCUGUCACUGCCAGAGUCUGUUUGUAUGCACAGCUUUUAUUCCCCAACCAGCUACUACCAUUCCCUUGGACCUGUAUAUGGAAGUAGGUGCAAACACUUUCUGAUACCAUUUUCAGUUUUGGCAGGAAGAAUAUAAGGAAGCACUGAGUUCAAUUACCCUUUGCUUCAGAAUCAUAUUCAUAGCUCCAUGCUUCGAGUACUGGUGCUUGGAAUUUAACUCUUCUAUCUAUUUGAAUCCCCUUUUACUGACUUUUGUCCAGUUUGCACCUUACUAUGUGGAGCACUUACCAUUAGUUUGUUUCUAACCUCCAGCAUCUACCUGCUUCAAAUAUCGCAACCUCCUGGGUUCCUGGCCACUGCCUUGUAUCCGACUAAUGGUAGCUGCAACUCCUUAAAUCCCAGCAUGCUGAUCUGGAGAACCAAGUAGUUGGUUCUCUAAGUCUCAGCUCCCACCAGGUGCCUUCAGCAAUGUUGCUACCCAUGCUUCUGGCUGGCAUGAAAAGCAUGAAAACCACAUAAUUAAAUUUUUACAGUUAGGCAGGGACUCUCUAAAGAUUUAAAAUCCUCUAUGUGAUAACAAAAAGGAACAAUGAUAAUGCCAAUUAAAAUAGAAAUACCUUCUGAAUGUCUAAUGAUUUAUACUUUACAAAGUGCUGUCACCUCAUUCAUUCAACAAAUAUUUAUUGAGCGCUAACUGUAUGCCAGGCAUGUUUUGAUAAAGCUUAAAAUCGUCUGUGGGAAACAACAUACAGAUAAUUGGAAAAUUAUUUAUCAAUUGUUAAGGCCAUGAAGAAAAAGUAACUGAGAGUCUGGAAAAUCAAGGAAAGCAUUCCUAAAGAAGUAAUAUUUAUUGUGACUCUGAAGAAUCUAUAUUGUCAUUUGGUUCUCACAAUAUAGCCUUGUGACUUAAAUAAAACAGAUUUUUUGUAUAUCAGUUUUACUAAUCUGAGUGCUAACAAUAGCCAUGGGACCCAGCUGUUUUGACCUCUUUAUUUUCCCUGCUACUCAUUUUGCCUUAAAAUAUAUAUGAAGUACUAUUUGAAAAUUUAUAUCAAGGGAUAUAAAAAUGUACUUUUUGGUUUAGUAUAUUCCACUUCAAGGAAUCUGUCCAAGGAAAUUAUCUAAAAUGUGGAUAAUUCACACACAAAGAUACUCCUCACAUAGUUAUUUGGUAUAGUGAAAAACAGAAAAACCUUAGUCUAACAUUCAGGGAAUGAUUAAGUAAAUGUGCCAUGUACCUAUGAUGGAAUAUUCUUCCAUUAAAAUGCUAUGGCAUAUUCAUUUUAUAAGUUAAGUGAAAAAUCAUCAGCAUACAAGGUUACAUAAAGUGUGAUGGCAACUAUUUUAAAAUAUAUAAUCAGUGACAAAUGACUAGAAGUAAAUGUAUUGGGGACUGUAAACUAAUUAUUACUGGAUGGGUUGCAUUAUGUAUGAUUUUAUUUUCUUCUAUAUAUUCUUUUAAGUUCUUACAAUGUACAGGUAUUUUCUAUUCAGGAAAAAUAUUUAAACAAUUGUGCACAAAACUAUUCAUCUUUUUUCUUGUACAUGGAAUCAAGCUUUACUGUUGGAAACACUUCAAAAUAUAUGUUAGCAAAGUGAAAAAAAACAAAUUCUCAAAUAAUUUCAGUAUCUAGAGAUAAUCACUGUAAGGAUUUUCGUGUAUGCUCUUGUAGGCACUUUUACUAGCAUAUUUUCUUGUACAAAAUGUAAUCAUACUGCAAUUUAACCUAUUUCUUUCUUACACUUAAUAAAUUGUGAACAACUUUCUAUGUCA